AAAGUCGAAGAAGCAGAAGUCGAAGAAAAAGUCGAAGAGGCAGAAGUCAUAGAAAAAAUCGAAGAAAAAGUCGAAGAGGCAGAAGCCAUAGAAAAAGUCGAAGAAGUAGAAGUCGA